CCUACGGGAGGCAGCAGUGAGGAAUAUUGGUAAAUGGGCGUAAGCCUGAACCAGCCAAGUCGCGUGGGGGAUGAAGGUUCUCUGGAUCGUCAACCUCUUUUAUAAGGGACUAAAGUGUGGGACGUGUACUGUUUUGUAUGUCCUUUAUGAAUAAGGAUCGGCUAACUCAGUGCCAGCAGCCGACGUACUACGGAUGAUCCGAGCGUUUUCCGGCUUUCUUGGGUUUACAGUGUUCGUUGGCGUCCUUUUAAGUCAGAGGUGAAAGUCUGUGGCUCAACUAUAGAAUGUCCUUUGAAACUGGUAGGCUUGAGUAUGUGUGAGGCAGGCGGAAGGUGUGGGGUAGCGGGGAAAUGCUUAGAUAUCACGCAGAACCCCGAUUGAGAAGGCAGCCUGCCAAGCCAUGACUGACGCUGAUGCACGAAAGCGUGGGGAUCAAACAGGAUUAGAUACCCGGGUAGUC
rnacentral:rRNA from 1 species